rnacentral:ncRNA from 2 species
UCCUCGCAUCGUGGUGAUUUGGCCGGCCGGCUUGCAGCCACGUUAAACAAGUCGCUAAAGGGCCGUCGACGACUUGAC